rnacentral:tRNA from 1 species
GGGGAUGUAACUCAAUUGGUUAGAGGAGCUGCCUUUUAAGCAGACGGUUGUGGGUUCGAGUCCCACCGUCCCCA